rnacentral:rRNA from 1 species
UCCGGGGGGGGCAAGCGUUGUUCGGAAUUACUGGGCGUAAAGGGCUCGUAGGCGGCCAACUAAGUCAGACGUGAAAUCCCCCGGCUUAACCUGGGAACUGCGUCUGAUACUGGGAGGCUUGAGUAUGGGAGAGGGAUGUAGAAUUCCAGGUGUAGCGGUGAAAUGCGUAGAUAUCUGGAGGAAUACCGGUGGCGAAGGCGGCAUCCUGGACCAUAACUGACGCUGAGGCGCGAAAGCUAGGGGAGCAAACGGG